GGUGUAGUAGUUUGUACUUGUAUGUUGGACUGUAAUUCUGGAGACCAGGGUUCGAAUCCCUGCUUAGCCA
rnacentral:tRNA from 1 species